GACGUAGGGUGCGAGCGUUGUCCGGAUUUAUUGGGCGUAAAGAGCUCGUAGGCGGCUCGUCGCGUCGACCGUGAAAACCCGCGGCUUAACUGCGGGCUUGCGGUUGAUACGGGCGGGCUAGAGUUCGGUAGGGGAGACUGGAAUUCCUGGUGUAGCGGUGAAAUGCGCAGAUAUCAGGAGGAACACCGGUGGCGAAGGCGGCAUCCUGGACCAACACUGACGCUGAGGAGCGAAAGCCAGGGGAGCAAACGGG
rnacentral:rRNA from 1 species